AACGACUGCUAAUACCGCAUACGCCCUACGGGGGAAAGCAGGGGACCUUCGGGCCUUGCGCGAUUGGAUAUGCCCAGGUGGGAUUAGCUAGUUGGUGAGGUAAUGGCUCACCAAGGCGACGAUCCCUAGCUGGUCUGAGAGGAUGAUCAGCCACACUGGAACUGAGACACGGUCCACACUCCUACGGGAGGCAGCAGUGGGGAAUAUUGCACAAUGGGGGAAACCCUGAUGCAGCCAUGCCGCGUGUGUGAAGAAGGCCUUCGGGUUGUAAAGCACUUUCAGCGAGGAGGAAAGGUCAUUAGCUAAUAUCUGCUGACUGUGACGUUACUCGCAGAAAAAGCACCGGCUAACUCCGUGCCAGCAGCCGC
rnacentral:rRNA from 1 species